rnacentral:lncRNA from 1 species
ACUUGCAGUGAAAUAAACCAGAGGUUUGAAUCAUGGCUUGAUACGAAAUUAUUGGAAAGAAUAUGGCGAUGACAUCCACAAUGCCGGAUAAAGAAAAUAUUUAGAAGAUGAGAUUCCUGUGUUUCUGGCUUUCAUUUUACUGGUCAUUCCUGCCAUGAGAAGAUGAUAGAGAAUAUCACCACAGUGUGACUUGCUUCCAAGGCAGCAUGGUUUCAUGCAGAGGAUCUAAACUGGGGACCAUGUGCUGGGCUGCAAAAGGGCUGUGCAGUGCCUAAAAUGUUAUGCAAAAUUUUAUAAAGGUAGGUCAUGUAUUGCUCCAUUGAUGCUGCCCUUAUUCAUGAUGAUUAAAGCCUUUGGGAGGUAUUCCUUCAGAAUAAUUUGGUGUUGUUUUCUUCAGUCAAGAGGUCCACAGAGCUGUCUUUCAUUCUGUAGGUUUAUCAGCAACUGAUGCUUAAAACCUAUUAGGCACUGCAAAAAAAGAGUGCACACCUUCUACUUAUUAAAAAAAAAAACAAACUGUAAAACAGCAUCAUGCAGGUUCUUCAGGAGAGAUUCCAGAGGAAGGCAUUGUUGUGGUAGAAGAUGACAGUUCCACAGGUGUUACUAGCCAUGAAGAUCUUCCAGUGAGACAAGAUGUGGAGGUGGAAGACAGUGAUAUUGAUGAUUCUGAUCCUGUUGUUAUAAAUAAAGUUUCGGUUCCACAAAAGAAA